rnacentral:rRNA from 1 species
UACGAAGGGGGCGAGCGUUGUUCGGAAUUACUGGGCGUAAAGGGCGCGCAGGCGGCCCUUGAGGUCAGGCGUGAAAGCCCCGGGCUCAACCUGGGAGGUGCGCUUGAUACUCGAGGGCUUGAGUGCGGGAGAGGAGAGUGGAAUUCCCAGUGUAGAGGUGAAAUUCGUAGAUAUUGGGAAGAACACCGGUGGCGAAGGCGGCUCUCUGGACCGUAACUGACGCUGAGGCGCGAAAGCGUGGGGAGCAAACAGG